CUCAGAAAUAGUAACGAUGACAACCAUUUGAGUUCUGAAAUUCCGAUUCUGCGUGCACGGUUGCGCGCGUGUGGUGACGCUCCUCCCUCAAUUACAGGAAUAAACCAGGGGAAUGCUCUAAUAAGGCAAGGAGACGAAGAGUCCAUUAUGGAGCCACCGCAGAGCUCUAACAGACCCCGUGCCAUUGCCAUGGCGUUGCCAUGGAUGCAAGCCAGAGAGGGAGGAACGCCGAGCUGUUGCCACCGGAGCUUGAAAAGCAGCAUGACUGACAUUUCAGCAUGAUACACUAAAGCCACAACCUAAUGAAGAGUCCGUGACACAAAGCUGGACACAGAGCUGGCAAAACCCCAACAUCCCGAAAUAUUGG
rnacentral:lncRNA from 1 species